rnacentral:rRNA from 1 species
CCAGCAGCUGCGGUAAUUCCAGCUCCAAUAGCGUAUAUUAAAGCUGUUGCGGUUAAAAAGCUCGUAGUUGGAUUUCUGUCAAGGACAACUGGUCCGCCCUCCGGGUGAGCACAUAGUUUGGUCUUGGCAUCUUGCUGGAAACUGUUGCUGCACUUGGCUGUGUGGCGCAGCGUCCAGCACUUUCACUUUGAGGAAAUUGGAGUGUUUCAAGCAGGCACAUGCCUUUGGACACAGUAGCAUGGAAUAAUUAGAUUGGGCUUUUGCUCCAAUUUGUCGGUUUCUGGAGCUGAGGUGAGAAUUAAUGGGGAUUGUUGGGGGCAUCCGAAUUUAGCCGUCAGAGGUGAAAUUCUUGGAUCUGCUAAAGACGGACAACUGCGAAAGCGUUUGCCCAGGAUGUUUUCAUUGAUCAAGAACGAAAGU